rnacentral:rRNA from 1 species
GAUGAACGCUGGCGGCGUGCCUAAUACAUGCAAGUCGAGCGAACAGACGAGGAGCUUGCUCCUCUGACGUUAGCGGCGGACGGGUGAGUAACACGUGGAUAACCUACCUAUAAGACUGGGAUAACUUCGGGAAACCGGAGCUAAUACCGGAUAACAUGUUGAACCGCAUGGUUCAACAGUGAAAGACGGUCUUGCUGUCACUUAUAGAUGGAUCCGCGCCGCAUUAGCUAGUUGGUAAGGUAACGGCUUACCAAGGCAACGAUGCAUAGCCGACCUGAGAGGGUGAUCGGCCACACUGGAACUGAGACACGGUCCAGACUCCUACGGGAGGCAGCAGUAGGGAAUCUUCCGCAAAGGGCGAAAGCCUGACGGAGCAACGCCGCGUGAGUGAAGAAGGUCUUCGGAUCGUAAAACUCUGUUAUUAGGGAAGAACAAAUGUGUAAGUAACUAUGCACGUCUUGACGGUACCUAAUCAGAAAGCCACGGCUAACUACGUG